AUUGAACGCUGGCGGCAGGCCUAACACAUGCAAGUCGAGCGUGCGGCGGACGGGUGAGUAAUGUCUGGGAACCUGCCUGAUGGAGGGGGAUAACUACUGGAAACGGUAGCUAAUACCGCAUACCAUCAGAUUUGCCCAGAUGGGAUUAGCUGGUAGGUGGGGUAACGGCUCACAUAGGCGACGAUCCCUAGCUGGUCUGAGAGGAUGACCAGCCACACUGGAACUGAGACACGGUCCAGACUCCUACGGGAGGCAGCAGUGGGGAAUAUUGCACAAUGGGCGAAAGCCUGAUGCAGCCAUGCCGCGUGUGUGAAGAAGGCCUUCGGGUUGUAAAGCACUUUUAGCGGGGAGGCGUUACCCGCAGAAGAAGCACCGGCUAACUCCGUGCCAGCCGCCGCGGUAAUUC
rnacentral:rRNA from 1 species